AUUGAACGCUGGCGGCAUGCCUUACACAUGCAAGUCGAACGGUAACAGGUCUUCGGAUGCUGACGAGUGGCGAACGGGUGGGUAAUACAUCGGAACGUGCCCGAUCGUGGGGGAUAACGAAGCGAAAGCUUUGCUAAUACCGCAUAAGAUCUACGGAUGAAAGCAGGGGACCGCAAGGCCUUGCGCGAACGGAGCGGCCGAUGGCAGAUUAGGUAGUGGGUGGGAUAAAAGCUUACCAAGCCGACGAUCUGUAGCUGGUCUGAGAGGACGACCAGCCACACUGGGACUGAGACACGGCCCAGACUCCUACGGGAGGCAGCAGUGGGGAAUUUUGGACAAUGGGCGAAAGCCUGAUCCAGCCAUGCCGCGUGCAGGAUGAAGGCCUUCGGGUUGUAAACUGCUUUUGUACGGAACGAAAAGACUCUUUCUAAUAAAGAGGGUCCAUGACGGUACCGUAAGAAUAAGCACCGGCUAACUACGUGCCAGCCGCCGCAGUAAGAC
rnacentral:rRNA from 1 species